rnacentral:rRNA from 1 species
GAUGAACGCUGGCGGCGUGCCUAAUACAUGCAAGUCGAGCGAACAGACGAGGAGCUUGCUCCUCUGACGUUAGCGGCGGACGGGUGAGUAACACGUGGAUAACCUACCUAUAAGACUGGGAUAACUUCGGGAAACCGGAGCUAAUACCGGAUAAUAUAUUGAACCGCAUGGUUCAAUAGUGAAAGACGGUUUUGCUGUCACUUAUAGAUGGAUCCGCGCCGCAUUAGCUAGUUGGUAAGGUAACGGCUUACCAAGGCGACGAUGCGUAGCCGACCUGCGAGGGUGAUCGGCCACACUGGAACUGGGACACGGUCCAUACUCCUACGGGAGGCAGCAGUAGGGAAUCUUACGCAAUGGGCGAAAGCUUGACGGAGCAACGCCGCGUGAGUGAUGAAGGUCUUCGGAUCGUAAAACUCUGUUAUUAGGGAAGAACAAAUGUGUAAGUAACUAUGCACGUCUUGACGGUACCUAAUCAGAAAGCCACGGCUAACUACGUG